rnacentral:rRNA from 1 species
GGAGUUUAAUUUAAUUAUUAAUUAAGUUUAUUUUUAAAUUUAAUUGUUGAAGUAAAAUUUAUAAAAAUAAUUUUUUGAAUUAUAAAUUAAGUAAUGAAAGUGAAUUUUUAAAUAAGAUUAAAAGUAAAUUUAAUUUAUUAUACCUUUUGUAUCAGGGGUAAUUAAUUAUAAUAUUUAAAUAAAAAUAUAUCUCGAAUUUAAAAGAUUUAAUUAAAAAUUUUAAGUUAUUGUUAAAUUAUUAUUAUUAAUUUUUAAUUAGAAAUGAAAUGUUAAUCGAUUUUAAAUAUAUCUAGUUUUUUUAGAAUUGAAUUUAAUUCAGCUUUAAAAUUAAAUUUAUUAAUUUUUUUUAAUUUAUUAAAUUAUUUUAAAGUAAUUAUAUUCGGGAUAAAUUGAAUAUAAAAAUUAUAAAUUAAUUUAAUUAUUAUUAAUUUUAUAAGUGGUAAUAAAAUUAUAUUUCUUUAUAAAAAAUGUUAAAAUUUAUAUUAAAAUAUUUUUUAUUAAAAUUUAUUUUUAAUUUUAAUUAUUUAUAAAAAAAUUAAUAAUUAAUAAAAUUUUAUAAGUUAUAAUGAUUAUAUUAGUAAUGGAUUUUUGUUUAAUUAAUUUAUAACUAUAAAAUUAUUAUAUUAAUUUAAGGAAUUUAGCAAAUAAUUAUUUAUAAAAUAAUUUAUUAUAAUAUAUAAAUAUAUAUAUAUAUAUAAUAUAUAUAUUUACCUGUUUAUCAAAAACAUGUCUUAUUGAUUAAAAUAAUAAGUCAAUUCUGCCCAUUGAAAUAAUUAAAAGGCUGCAGUAUAUUAACUGUACAAAGGUAGCAAAAUCAAUAGUUUUUUAAUUGGAAACUUGAAUGAAAGAAUUCAUAAAAUAUAAACUGUCUCAAAUUAAUUAAAAUUGAAUUUAAAUUUAAAGUUAAAAUGCUUUAAUAAAUUUAUUAGACGAUAAGACCCUAAGAAUUUAAUAAUAUUAUUUAUUAAUUUAAUUGUGUAAUUUUAAUUUAUUAUAAAAAAUAUUAGUUUAUUGGGAGGGUAAUUAAAAAUUUUGAACUUUAAUUUUUAUAGAACAUAGAUAAUUGAAUUUUUAAAGAUAAUUAUUAUAAUUAUAAGAAUUAAUUACCUUAGGGAUAACAGCGUAAUAAUUUUGGAAAGUUCAUAUUGAUAAAAUUGUUUGCGACCUCGAUGUUGAAUUAAAAUAAAAAUUAAGUGUAGAAGCUUAAAAUUUUAGUCUGUUCGACUAUUAAAAUUUUACAUGAUUUGAGUUCAGAUCGGUGUGAGCCAGAUCGGAUUUUAUCUAUAAUUAAAAUUUAUUUUAUUGUACGAAAGGACUUAAAAUGAAAAAUAUUUUUUAAAUAAAUUGAAUUUAAUUAAUUAUUUUAAUAUUAUU